rnacentral:lncRNA from 1 species
AUGACAGUUAAGAGGCAGGACAUUUGCUUAACAGCGACGAGCAAAUUUAGUAGGUUAACACUUCCCAGCCUCCCCCACCGCGCUCCUUCCCGGGUCAGGCUCCUGGCGGCGCUGCGCGGGGCGCGGGAGGGGCCGAGGGGGCGGGGCGAGGGGCGUGGGAGGGGCGGGGCGUGGGAGGGGCGGGGCGCGCGGGGCCCCGCCCGCAGCCGGCGGCGGAGCGGGAGGCAGGCGGCUGAGACGGGCGCGCCAUUUGCAUUCGCCCGCAGUCAUUUUUAUCCGCGGAGGAUUUCAAAGCCCCAAACAGAUCCACCCACUGAGGCGGCUGAGAAAAGGAGUUCGGCAGGUGCAGCGCUGUCAGGAGAUGAGACAAGCUAGACACACACCUGCUCUGAGACAGGGUACUUUCAGCAUCGAUCAACAGAAAACCUUGAGUCAACUUGCUAACCUGUGGGCUGACAUGGGGGCAGCCUUGUCCGGUGGGACCGUCUAAGACGAUGGGAGUGUCCAGUACGGCAGCCACGAGCCACGUGUGGCCAGUGAGCACUUGAAAUGUGCCAGCGUGACUAAGGAACUUUUUAAAUUCUCCAUGAAGAUGACGGAGUCUGCGGAGAAUCCUUUUUUAAAGAGCUGUUAUUAAGCAGAGAUUUCCCGGUGAAUGGUUAGAAUCCAAAUGAGAUUCCUCCCACCUCACAGCCCUUACCCCCGGCGGCUCCCACACACAGGUCUGUUGGGAGACUCCCUUCCCUUCUUUUCAGUCAGUUGCCACCACUUUGUUCUCUGGGGUUGAGAAUAUUCUCAUGGUGUAACUGGUGCCCUUGCUGCCUGGACUGUUAUCUGUGUUCUGAAGCAAACCAACUGCUUCCUCCUCUCCUAAAGGUUCUUGUUAAUGAGGCCCACACAAGGGGCAAGGUGUCUG